rnacentral:rRNA from 1 species
GGGCCCGCACAAGCGGUGGAGCAUGUGGUUUAAUUCGAUGAUACGCGAGGAACCUUACCAGGGCUUAAAUGCAGAACGACAAGGUGGAAAAACCUCCUUCUCGGACGGUCUGCAAGGUGCUGCAUGGUUGUCGUCAGCUCGUGCUGUGAAGUGUCGGGGUUUAAGUCCCCAUAAACGAGCGCAACCCCCUAUUUUUAGUUGCCAGCGGUUCGGCCGGGGACUCUAGAGAAAACUGCCAGCGUAAAGCUGUGAGGAAGGUGGGGAUGACGUCAAAAUCAUCACGGCCCUUACGUCCUGGGCUACACACGUGCUACAAUGGUAGGGACAGAGAGUUGCCAACCCGCGAGGGUGAG